AACGAACGCUGGCGGCGUGCCUAACACAUGCAAGUCGAGCGCGAAUGGAGCAAUCCUAGUAGAGCGGCGCACGGGUGCGUAACACGUGGGUAAUCUGCCUCAAAGCCCGGGAUAACCUGCCGAAAGGCAAGCUAAUACCGGAUAAGCCUACGGACUCUUCGGGGUCUGAAGGAAAGGUGGCCUCUGUAUACAAGCUAUCACUUUGAGAUGAGCCCGCGGCCCAUCAGCUCGUUGGCGGGGUAACGGCCCACCAAGGCAACGACGGGUAGCUGGUCUGAGAGGACGAUCAGCCACACUGGAACUGAGACACGGUCCAGACUCCUACGGGAGGCAGCAGGUGGGGUAAUUUUUGCGCAAUGGGCGAAAGCCUGACGCAGCAACGCCGCGUGUGUGAUGAAGGUCGUUCGG
rnacentral:rRNA from 1 species